rnacentral:rRNA from 1 species
CCCUUAGAUGUUCUGGGCCGCACACGCGCUACACUGAAGGAGGCAGCGUGUACUCCUGGAUCGAAAGAUUUGGGUAACCCGCGAAUCUCCUUCGUGCUAGGGAUUGAGGUUUGCAAUUAUCCUUCAUGAACGAGGAAUUCCCAGUAAGUGCAAGUCAUAAGCUUGCGCCGACUACGUCCCUGCCCUUUGUACACACCGCCCGUCGCUACUACCGAUUGAAUGAUUUAGUGAGGACUUCGGACUGGGACCGAUGCGGCUUUCGGGCUGCGUCGGUAUUCUGGAAAGAUGUCCAAACUGUAUCAUUUAGAGGAAGUAAAAGUCGUANCA